GACGUAGGGCGCGAGCGUUGUCCGGAUUUAUUGGGCGUAAAGAGCUCGUAGGCGGCUUGUCGCGUCUGCUGUGAAAAUCCGGGGCUCAACCCCGGACUUGCAGUGGGUACGGGCAGACUAGAGUGUGGUAGGGGAGACUGGAAUUCCUGGUGUAGCGGUGAAAUGCGCAGAUAUCAGGAGGAACACCGAUGGCGAAGGCAGGUCUCUGGGCCACUACUGACGCUGAGAAGCGAAAGCAUGGGGAGCGAACAGG
rnacentral:rRNA from 1 species